rnacentral:rRNA from 1 species
AGCGAGAUCUUCGGAUCUAGCGGCGGACGGGUGAGUAACGCGUGGGAAUAUGCCCUUCUCUACGGAAUAGUCCCGGGAAACUGGGUUUAAUACCGUAUACGCCCUUCGGGGGAAAGAUUUAUCGGAGAAGGAUUAGCCCGCGUUGGAUUAGGUAGUUGGUGGGGUAAUGGCCUACCAAGCCUACGAUCCAUAGCUGGUUUGAGAGGAUGAUCAGCCACACUGGGACUGAGACACGGCCCAGACUCCUACGGGAGGCAGCAGUGGGGAAUCUUAGACAAUGGGGGAAACCCUGAUCUAGCCAUGCCGCGUGAGUGAUGAAGGCCUUAGGGUUGUAAAGCUCUUUCAGCUGGGAAGAUAAUGACGGUACCAGCAGAAGAAGCCCCGGCUAACUCCGUGCCAGCAGCCGCGGUAAUACGGAGGGGGCUAGCGUUGUUCGGAAUUACUGGGCGUAAAGCGCACGUAGGCGGACUGGAAAGUUGGGGGUGAAAUCCCGGGGCUCAACCUCGGAACUGCCUCCAAACUAUCAGUCUGGAGUUCGAGAGAGGUGAGUGGAAUACCGAGUGUAGAGGUGAAAUUCGUAGAUAUUCGGUGGAACACCAGUGGCGAAAGCGGCUCACUGGCUCGAUACUGACGCUGAAGUGCGAAAGCGUGGGGAGCAACAGGAUUAGAUACCCUGGUAGUCCACGCCGUAACGAUGAAUGCCAGUCGUCGGGCAGCUUGCUGUUCGUGACCCACCUAACGGAUUAGCAUUCCCCUGGGGAGUACGGUCGCAGAUUAAACUCAAAGGAAUUGACGGGGGCCGCACAAGCGUGGAGCUGUGGUUUAAUUCAAGCACGCGCAGAACUUACCACCCUUGACUGGCAGGACGCUGG